rnacentral:rRNA from 1 species
GGGUUGUGAGGUUAAGCGACUAAGCGUACACGGUGGAUGCCCUGGCAGUCAGAGGCGAUGAAGGACGUGCUAAUCUGCGAUAAGCGCCGGUAAGGUGAUAUGAACCGUUAUAACCGGCGAUUUCCGAAUGGGGAAACCCAGUGUGACUCGUCACACUAUCAUUAACUGAAUCCAUAGGUUAAUGAGGCGAACCGGGGGAACUGAAACAUCUAAGUACCCCGAGGAAAAGAAAUCAACCGAGAUUCCCCCAGUAGCGGCGAGCGAACGGGGAUGAGCCCAGAGCCUGAAUCAGCAUGUGUGUUAGUGGAAGCGUCUGGAAAGGCGCGCGAUACAGGGUGACAGCCCCGUACACAAAAGCGCAUAUGCUGUGAGCUCGAUGAGUAGGGCGGGACACGUGGUAUCCUGUCUGAAUAUGGGGGGACCAUCCUCCAAGGCUAAAUACUCCUGACUGACCGAUAGUGAACCAGUACCGUGAGGGAAAGGCGAAAAGAACCCCGGCGAGGGGAGUGAAAAAGAACCUGAAACCGUGUACGUACAAGCAGUGGGAGCCCCACCACUAAGCCAGUGGUGAACUCCACAUACGCAUCCUUUGCUGAGGAUACGGUUAACGGAGCGAAAGCGACGUUCAACCGCAAAAGAAGCAGAGGGGGCUUAGUGGUGG